AUUUACGAUAUGCAUGCGUUGGCAUUUGCGUUGGCAUUUUUGCACAGGGGCGGGGACGGCCGCGACAGAACCAGAACCAGGGAACGGCAGCUUUUGUGAUAUGCACCGGAAUUCUCAUCCGCCUUGUACAGGGUACAGUAACUACGUGGUUGAUUUACGAUAUGCAUGCGUUGGCAUUUGCGUUGGCAUUUUUGCACAGGGGCGGGGACCGGCCGCGACAGAACCAGAACCAGGGAACGGCAGCUUUUGUGAUAUGCACCGGAAUUCUCAUCCGCCUUGUACAGGGUACAGUGGGGCCUGCAGCCUGUCAGUCGAGUUUGAGCUACAGAGAAUUGACCAAUCACUGUUCGUUUUGCGACAGAGAUUUGCCAGGCAGCUACAGAGAUUUGACCAAUCGCGUUUCGAGUUGCGACAGAGAUUUCAGUGGCACUCCGCGUCAGUUACGGGCCGACGAAACGACAACACAAGCGGGACUUUUCAAAAGUACUGGAUGGAUUUUACUGCAGCUAUCACUCAAUUGACGAUACAGAGGCAGUUUUCAGAAGGAGGGUUGAUGUCACCACUAACAUUUUGCACACAGUGGUGUAAGAGAUUCUUCCUUCUCAGAGUCGUAAUUGGGUUGAUGAUCUACAUGAUGGUGAUGGACCAGGACAGCUCCGGACCCCCUGGCUGGCAGCUCCAUCCUCAACCUGCCUUCUUGCCCUUCACACAUGUGCAGAUGAAAGCAGUCGUUUCUGUUCAGCAUUGAUGUGCCCAUAAUGGGUCUGAUGAGCCACAUGAUGAUGGUGAUGGACAACCAGCAUCAGGACCAGGGCGGCUCCAUGCCUCACGAGGACAACCUUGUGUCCUGCCUGUCCAUCCUCAACCUCGCAUCUUCCUGCUCUUCACACAUGUGCAGACACAGAGACAGUUUUCAGAGGGAGCGCUGACGACACCAGCAACUUUGGAUCUGAACCUGAUCAACCCAGCACCAACCACUGUGCCUCUCCUCCUCAGCCAACUGCACAACGUGACUCCACCAUAUCCAAAAGGUGCAGACACUACUCCACUUCCUGCGAAGGAUGAGAAGAGCCGACCUCCCCACAUCUGCACUCGCCACUUUCUACAGGGGUGCCUUUGAGAGCAUCCUCAUCAGCAGCCAGCAGCCACCUAGCUGAAGACUACAAGGCGCUACAGAGGGUGUUGAGGACGGCAGAAAAGAUCAUAAGAUCACCCCUACCAGCCAUUCAGGACCUGUACACGUCACAUUGUUCCAAGAGGGCAAUGAACAUCAUCAAAGACACACCUCACCCACCACACUGACUGUUCUCCCUUCUACCAUCAGGGAAGCGCUACCACAGCAUGCGGUGACGCACAAGCACACAGGGAAACAGCUUCUUUCCACAAGCCAUCAGAUUUUUCCACGCACUGAAGAAAACCACAUUAAUAAUUCAAGGACACCAUCCCAACUCUUCUUUCACCAUGCCACUUAGAUUUUAGUCAUUGCACCUUGUAUACGUCAUCUGCGCUGCUUCACAUCACCUGCAUAACCACUGAUUGUACUCCUGCUGCUGUGUUUGUGUGCAAGCGCGCUGCGCUCAUGUGUGCGUUUGUGCAUUUUUUGUCAAUUAGUAUGUUAAUCUUCUUAUUGCACAGUGUGUGUGUGUGUCUGCGUGUGUGUGUGUGUGUGUCUGUUAAUCUAUUUAUUGUAUGAACCUGUCUGUAUUUUUCACUGCUUGUGUGAGUGAAUGUGGCAGAGAAAGAAUUAGUUUACUCCGCUUUGUGUGUCUGUGAGAGAUUUUUGUCAGUGUCUUAUUUUUAUGUUUAGUUUAACUGCAAAUUGGAGACAUUGUUCAAACACAUUUCAAACUUUUAUGCUAACCCUGUUCCAUAAGUUUUUGACCAAGUACACUUGACUGUUUUUUGUCCUUUUAGUGUCUUUAUGCAUUCAGCUGUAGGCAAUAAUCUGCAUCUCUUUACGGAUAUGUUGCAUGUAUAUCAUGUAUUCCAUCUGCCUGUGUACAGUUUUGUGGGUGUGCAUUUGAUAGUGUGUGUAAUGCAUUGCAAUGUCUGUUAUGUUGUAGAUUGGUAGAAACUUUAAUUCCACAGCUAUCUACACAUCAGACAAAUGAGUGCUGCUCUAACUGUGGUAGUUGAGUGCUGUUCUACUGCUAUUCCACUAUGAAUGUGAGGUGACUGUUUUGAAUGCAAGCUUAAAAAUAAAUUGUUACAUUUCA